AAUAGCCCUGUUUUAUUGUGCUUAACACCCAUUCGGAUAUCCCUGGAAUAUCUUCCCACGCUUUGAAGCGUAAUGUUAGAGGGUGAAUGGCCAAAUCGCUCUGAUUGCCGCACACAGCGCGCUGAACAGAAUGUGUGAGCGCGCUUACUGUGCUUAUGCUGGACUGCUCGCAGACAGCAUGGACAGGCUGUUCUGUGAGUGACUUCCUGAUUGAGGUGAAUGGGGAAAGAGUCACGUCUGUUAAGUGAUGCGCAAGCAUAGCCACGGCCACGGGACUUACAUACAGAGAAGUGUUUGCUGGCCGUGUGACAGAGCGGGCAGAGAAUGGGCGCGCGCACGUAUUCGUGAGCGCAUUUAUUGACUCUAACACUCGAGUGGUUCGUAACCGCUUUUGAGUGUGCUCUGAUGGGGACACGGAACGUGUAAUGCUUGUGUGUAGAGCUGAACACUAGAUUGUGGGCACAUUUUCUACACAUAAGGCUGGUCGUGUGACAGCGCGGCCAGAGAAUGGGCGCGCGCACGGAUUCGUGGGUGCGUUCAUUAACCCUAACGCCGGUUUCACACUGCACGCGUUAGCAGCGCAUGAGCAGUGCGUACGGUGAGCGGAAGCAGGACACGCGCGUUUUGCUUUCAUACUGGCAGCGUUUGACGCGCGCGGCGUGUUUACAGACAGGCUACACUAUAAUGGUGCGAGUUGUUGAUAGAAGGAAGGCCAUUGCGCUGUAUUUGCUAUUACGAAGACUACGGAAAAGACGCAGACUUUGGGUUCACUCCAUGAACCGACGAAGGAGAGAAUAUGGUGCAUAUUACCAUCUUGUCGCCGAACUCCGUCUUGACCGUGACCGACACCUAAACUACUUAAGGAUGAAUGCAGAGCAAGUGGAUCACAUUCUUUCCCUGAUUGGAGGCCAACUAAAGGCAAACAACAAACUACAGGCAGUCCAUUGAACCCAAGCAGCGACUUGCAGUUACAUCUGCUUCUCUUAUUUAUGUGUGCUUACUGUGUGCAAAAUGUAAAUAAAUGCUUACAUUUGUUGUU